UAUGGGAAGAUGAUUAAGGGCUGCUAACUCUUAUAAAGUUGAAAGCUAGAGA
rnacentral:tRNA from 1 species